rnacentral:rRNA from 1 species
GAUGAACGCUGGCGGCGUGCCUAAUACAUGCAAGUCGAGCGAACGGACGAGAAGCUUGCUUCUCUGAUGUUAGCGGCGGACGGGUGAGUAACACGUGGAUAACCUACCUAUAAGACUGGGAUAACUUCGGGAAACCGGAGCUAAUACCGGAUAAUAUUUUGAACCGCAUGGUUCAAAAGUGAAAGACGGUCUUGCUGUCACUUAUAGAUGGAUCCGCGCUGCAUUAGCCAGUUGGUAAGGUAACGGCUUACCAAGGCAACGAGGCAUAGCCGACCUGAGAGAGUGAUAGGCGACACUGGAAGUGAGACACGGUCCAGACUCCUACGGGAGGCAGCAGUAGGGAAUCUGCCGCAAUGGUCGAAAGCAUGACGGAGCAGCGCCGCGUGAGAGACGAAGGUCUUCGGAGCGUAAAACUCUGUUAUUAGGGAAGAACAGAUGUGUCAGUAACUGUGCACAUAUUGACGGUACCUAAUCAGAAAGCCACGGCUAACUACGUG